GAUCCUGGCUCAGGAUGAACGCUAGCUACAGGCUUAACACAUGCAAGUCGAGGGGCAGCAUUUUAGUUUGCUUGCAAACUAAAGAUGGCGACCGGCGCACGGGUGAGUAACACGUAUCCAACCUGCCGAUAACUCAGGGAUAGCCUUUCGAAAGAAAGAUUAAUACCUGAUGGCAUAGGAUUAUCGCAUGAUAAUCCUAUUAAAGAAUUUCGGUUAUCGAUGGGGAUGCGUUCCAUUAG
rnacentral:rRNA from 1 species